rnacentral:RNase_P_RNA from 1 species
UGAGCAAGCCGGGCAGUUGCGGGCGCGAGGCGAAAGCGCGCGUCUGAGGAAAGUCCGAGCUCCCCAGGGCAUGGAUAACGGCUAACCGCCGCCGGGGGCGACCCUAGGGAUAGUGCAACAGAGAGAUACCGCCCAAGUUCGAUUUAUUUCGAAUGUUGUGGUAAGGGUGGAAAGGCGAGGUAAGAGCUCACCGGCGCAUGGGAGACCAUGCGGCCCUGUAAACCCUAUCCGGAGCAACACCGUGGAGGGACAGCAGUUGAUUCUGCAGGCGCGGCCCGCGCGUCCCGAGGAGGUGGCGUGAGCCUGCUGGCAACGGCAGGCCAAGAUAGAUGACUGCUCAAGACAGAACUCGGCUUAUAGACUUGGUCACAAG